AUAUGCAACUUGUCUACAGUAAAAUUAUUUGACUUGUUAAAACUGCCACACAUAAUACUGCUACUAGUCUAUAUAUGCAACCAGUACCUAUGUUUCUCAAUAUAAAGACGUUUUGGUAGUUUAAAUAAUGGAUGGAGUGAUAGUUACAGUAUGGUUGAAAAUCCGCUCAGUUGUGGACUAAUAAGAGCCAGCAAUACAUAUACUCUAGUUGUCAUGCUGUGCUUGAUGUUUCAUAUUUUGUUGAUGCAUUGAUUGCUCGUCCCUCCUCCCCUCCCCUCCCCUCAUCUGCUUCUUCCUGAUUAGAUCUGAUCUGAUCCAUGCAGGGGGUUUGUGCAGGCCAUCACCAUGGUACGCCGAGGUGCUGCGGGUGUCAAGGAAGACGAUGGUUCGGUUGAGACAGUGAAGAGAGGAUAGCGUGCGAGGGGGAGGACGUCAGUUCGAGCGGCUUAGAUUACUCGAGGCAUGAUUUGAUUCGGUACAAGGGGUUCGUCAUGCCAGGCUCCUCUUUUCUGCUGCUUCCAUGCAACGGUGGUGGCGGCUGUGUUGUUCGGCAUCGGCUACAAAAACAGCCAUGGGCGACCGAGGAAGGCAUGUUGUCUGUUUUCUUGAAGGCCGUUUUGUUUGUUCCCGGCCCUAACUACGGUUGUCCAGCUAGUUCGGCAUGUUGUUCAUAUCACUAUGGUAGUCCAAUGAGUUUGGCAUGUUGUGAGUUUGGCAUGUUCAUGACGGGAGCAGGUGCCAGUUUGUGAUUGCUUGUAAAGCUUGUAAAGUACUGUAUUACACUUGUAGUCAUUACUGUGAUUGCCAUUGUAUUACACUUGUAAGGAUCUGGUUGCUCUUAUUUGAAGUAUUAUGUGUGCUUUU